rnacentral:rRNA from 1 species
CGCAAGCCUGACGGAGCAAGAUCGCGUGCGGGAUGACGGCCUAAUGGUUGUAAACCGCUUUUCUCUGGGAAGAUGAUGACGGUACCAGAGGAAUCAGCCUCGGCUAACUCCGUGCCAGCAGCCGCGGUAAUACGGAGGAGGCAAGCGUUAUCCGGAAUUAUUGGGCGUAAAGCGUCCGUAGGUGGUUAUUCAAGUCUGCUGUCAAAGCGUGGGGCUUAACUCCAUAGAGGCAGUGGAAACUGGAUGACUUGAGUGCGGUAGGGGUCGAGGGAAUUCCCAGUGUAGCGGUGAAAUGCGUAGAUAUUGGGAAGAACACCAGUGGCGAAAGCGCUCGACUGGGCCUGCACUGACACUGAGGGACGAAAGCUAGGGGAGCG